UAUCAGUCAUGCAUAGCAUAUCAAUAAGCGGAGGAAAAGAAACUAACAAGGAUUCCCUUAGUAACGGCGAGUGAAGCGGGAAGAGCUCAAAUUUGAAAUCUUCAAGGUUUUACCUUGACGAAUUGUAGUUUAAAGAAGUGUUUUCUGUUGAAGUUUUGGUAAAAGUUCUUUGGAAUAGGACAUCAUAGAGGGUGAGAAUCCCGUAUUUGACCAUUACUUUCAGGCUUUGUGAUACACUUUCAAAGAGUCGGAUUGUUUGGGAAUGCAGUCCAAAAUGGGUGGUAAGUUUCAUCUAAAGCUAAAUAUUGGCGAGAGACCGAUAGCGAACAAGUACCGUGAGGGAAAGAUGAAAAGAACUUUGAAAAGAGAGUUAAACAGUACGUGAAAUUGUCAAAAGGGAAGCGUUUGACACCAGUGUUGUUUUCUCGAAAAUCAAUUAAAAAGAGUUGGAUUUUGUGUUGUAUUGACUUUAUCAGCUUUCUUCACUCUUUUCCAGCUUUUUUUAAUGCACUUUUCGUUUAACAAGUCAACAUCAUGUUUCUUUUGUUGUAAAAAGGUCAUUGGAAGGUGGCUUUCUCUUCGGAGAAAGUGUUUAUAGCCUUUGACUCAUGCAAUCGGAGAGACUGAGGUCUGCAGCGUAGAUCCUUCGGGGUUAGAUACAUUUGUGCUAAGUUAUAGCUUUUCAUAGACAACUUGUUGACUAUGUUUAGUCUUGUAGCUUACUCGCUUAUGCUAUUUUACCUACGCUUAGGAUGUUGAACUCUAUCACACACAG
rnacentral:rRNA from 1 species